AAAAUUUUAAAGGUCGAACAGACCUAAACUUGUAAAACCUACCCCACAAAUUAAUUUUAAUCCAACAUCGAGGUCACAAACUUAUUUAUCGAUAAGAACUCUCCAAAUAAAUUAUG
rnacentral:rRNA from 1 species